rnacentral:rRNA from 1 species
ACGCUCGACACCUACUGGAGGCAGCAGUGGGGAAUAUUGCACAAUGGGGGAAACCCUGAUGCAGCGACGCCGCGUGAAGGAAGAAGUAUCUCGGUAUGUAAACUUCUAUCAGCAGGGAAGAAAGUGACGGUACCUGACUAAGAAGCCCCGGCUAACUACGUGCCAACAGCCGCGGUAAUCUGAGCGGGCUGGCAAGGC